CAGGAACAAACAUACAAAUUAAAACGCUGUUGUGAGGAGGGCAGCAUAGCAUUCCAUGAUUUCCAUCCAUCUCACUGAAGCUGAAGUCUGAACGCCAAUUCCUGAAAAAUAAGACCCAGGGCUCCUCUAUGGGAAAGUCUACUCCCCCGAUCGAACCAACAGCGGCUAUCGCCAUCGGAUUCAGUAGCACACACACGGGCGGAGCAGACUUAUCCUGCAAAAAAAAAAAAACAAGAACGUGUGGAAGAUCACAUGUACGGUGCUUGGUCUCGUCAGGACUUUCCGAGCUCCGGAUCACCUGGCACUGAUAAGCAGUUCGGUUUGUCCGGCCUACUCCUCGUCCUCGAGAGAGAGAGAGAGAUAGUCAUGUCGGUCUUUUUCAGGGAAUAAGGAAAAAGUCCGAGAGGCGGAUUUCACCAAGAAGGCCUGUGCCUGUCCAAGU
rnacentral:lncRNA from 7 species